GCAGGCUUAACUCAUGCAAGUCGAGCGAGAAAGGGGCUUCGGUCCUGAGUAAAGCGGCGGACGGGUGCGUAACACGUGGAUAAUCUACCCUGAUGUGGGGGACAACAACUCGAAAGGGUUGCUAAUACCGCAUACGUCGGCGUUGUCGAUGACAGUGCCGGGAGAGAGGGCGCCUGAAAGGGGCUCUCGCAGCAGGAUGAGUCCGCGGCCCAUCAGCUAGUUGGCGGGGUAAAAGCCCACCAAGGCCAAGACGGGUAGCUGGUCUGAGAGGAUGAUCAGCCACACUGGGACUGAGACACGGCCCAGACUCCUACGGGAGGCAGCAGUGGGGAAUAUUGGGCAAUGGGCGCAAGCCUGACCCAGCCAUGCCGCGUGAGUGAUGAAGGCCUUCGGGUCGUAAAGCUCUGUGGGGAGGGACGAACAGUUCCGGUGUUAAUACCACUGGGACCUGACGGUACUUCCUUAGCAAGCACCGGCUAACUCCGUGCCAGCAGCCGCGGUAAUACGGAGGGUGCAAACGUUGCUCGGAAUCAUUGGGCGU
rnacentral:rRNA from 1 species